rnacentral:rRNA from 1 species
CUACGUGCCAGCAGCCGCGGUAAUACGUAGGGCGCGAGCGUUGUCCGGAAUUAUUGGGCGUAAAGGGCUUGUAGGCGGUUGGUCGCGUCUGCCGUGAAAUUCUCUGGCUUAACUGGGGGCGUGCGGUGGGUACGGGCUGACUUGAGUGCGGUAGGGGAGACUGGAACUCCUGGUGUAGCGGUGGAAUGCGCAGAUAUCAGGAAGAACACCGGUGGCGAAGGCGGGUCUCUGGGCCGUUACUGACGCUGAGGAGCGAAAGCGUGGGGAGCGAACAGGAUUAGAUACCCUGGUAGUCCACGCUGUAAACGUUGGGCACUAGGUGUGGGGGCCACCCGUGGUUUCUGCGCCGUAGCUAACGCUUUAAGUGCCCCGCCUGGGGAGUACGGCCGCAAGGCUAAAACUCAAAUGAAUUGACGGGGGCCCGCACAAGCGGUGGAGCAUGUGGUUUAAUUCGAUGCAACGCGAAGAACCUUACCUACUCUUGACAUCCAGA